UACGUAGGGUGCGAGCGUUGUCCGGAAUUAUUGGGCGUAAAGGGUGCGUAGGCGGUUGCCUAAGUCAGAUGUGAAAUCCCGGGGCUCAACCUCGGAACUGCAUUUGAUACUGGGUGACUUGAGUACUGGAGGGGAGACUGGAAUUUACGGUGUAGCAGUGAAAUGCGUAGAGAUCGUAAGGAAGACCAGUGGCGAAGGCGGGUCUCUGGACAGUUCCUGACACUGAGGCACGAAGGCCAGGGGAGCAAACGGG
rnacentral:rRNA from 1 species